rnacentral:rRNA from 1 species
GAAUGCUGACAUAAGUAACGAUAAAGCGGGUGAAAAGCCCGCUCGCCGGAAGACCAAGGGUUCCUGUCCAACGUUAAUCGGGGCAGGGUGAGUCGACCCCUAAGGCGAGGCCGAAAGGCGUAGUCGAUGGGAAACGGGUUAAUAUUCCCGUACUUGGUGUUACUGCGAAGGGGGGACGGAGAAGGCUAUGUUGGCCGGGCGACGGUUGUCCCGGUUUAAGCGUGUAGGUGUGUGUUCCAGGUAAAUCCGGUUCACUUUAACACUGAGGCGUGACGACGAGGCACUACGGUGCUGAAGCAACAAAUGCCCUGCUUCCAGGAAAAGCCUCUAAGCAUCAGGUAACAUCAAAUCGUACCCCAAACCGACACAGGUGGUCAGGUAGAGAAUACCAAGGCGCUUGAGAGAACUCGGGUGAAGGAACUAGGCAAAAUGGUGCCGUAACUUCGGGAGAAGGCACGCUGACACGUAGGUGAAGUGAUUUACUCAUGGAGCUGAAGUCAGUCGAAGAUACCAGCUGGCUGCAACUGUUUAUUAAAAACACAGCACUGUGCAAACACGAAAGUGGACGUAUACGGUGUGACGCCUGCCCGGUGCCGGAAGGUUAAUUGAUGGGGUCAGCGCAAGCGAAGCUCCUGAUCGAAGCCCCGGUAAACGGCGGCCGUAACUAUAACGGUCCUAAGGUAGCGAAAUUCCUUGUCGGGUAAGUUCCGACCUGCACGAAUGGCGUAAUGAUGGCCAGGCUGUCUCCACCCGAGACUCAGUGAAAUUGAACUCGCUGUGAAGAUGCAGUGUACCCGCGGCAAGACGGAAAGACCCCGUGAACCUUUACUAUAGCUUGACACUGAACAUUGAGCCUUGAUGUGUAGGAUAGGUGGGAGGCUUUGAAGUGUGGACGCCAGUCUGCAUGGAGCCGACCUUGAAAUACCACCCUUUAAUGUUUGAUGUUCUAACGUGGACCCGUAAUCCGGGUUGCGGACAGUGUCUGGUGGGUAGUUUGACUGGGGCGGUCUCCUCCUAAAGAGUAACGGAGGAGCACGAAGGUUGGCUAAUCCUGGUCGGACAUCAGGAGGUUAGUGCAAUGGCAUAAGCCAGCUUGACUGCGAGCGUGACGGCGCGAGCAGGUGCGAAAGCAGGUCAUAGUGAUCCGGUGGUUCUGAAUGGAAGGGCCAUCGCUCAACGGAUAAAAGGUACUCCGGGGAUAACAGGCUGAUACCGCCCAAGAGUUCAUAUCGACGGCGGUGUUUGGCACCUCGAUGUCGGCUCAUCACAUCCUGGGGCUGAAGUAGGUCCCAAGGGUAUGGCUGUUCGCCAUUUAAAGUGGUACGCGAGCUGGGUUUAGAACGUCGUGAGACAGUUCGGUCCCUAUCUGCCGUGGGCGCUGGAGAACUGAGGGGGGCUGCUCCUAGUACGAGAGGACCGGAGUGGACGCAUCACUGGUGUUCGGGUUGUCAUGCCAAUGGCACUGCCCGGUAGCUAAAUGCGGAAGAGAUAAGUGCUGAAAGCAUCUAAGCACGAAACUUGCCCCGAGAUGAGUUCUCCCUGAGACUUAGAGUCUCCUGAAGGAACGUUG